rnacentral:lncRNA from 1 species
GGUUGUAGAGUUCGAUUAGUCUAAUUAUUUGAUAAUUAGACUUCUGGCAUUCUGCCUUAGUGAACUGACCUUCCAUGUGAGCCCUGAUGAUGCUCUAGAAUGGCCUUUUUUGUAGGAUCUUGAGGACAUCCUUUCUUGCUGCAAGCUUGUCUUUUACCGUUUGCAAAGUGUUGUCAAAUGUGAGCAUGUUGCUCUUGAUCUGCACAUAAUUUAGGUUAUUGCGUCUGUUGGGUUUAGGUUUUUGUAUUUGGGAUGGUGUUCUUUUGGUCUUCGUUGUUUUCUUUGGUUUUAGUGUGUUUGUGGAUUUAGGUGUGGAUGGUUUUGGUGUUUGUUUAGCUUUGGUAUUUGGUUUAGGUGGAUUGGCUUUAGGUGUUGACAGUUUGGCUUUUGUUGUUGUUGGUGGUAUGCCUUGUGUGUUUGUUGAUUCUGUUUUGUGCUUUUGCAGGCUUGGGAUCCUUUUGUAUGCUUUUUUUUUUUUUUUUUAAUUUCAACUCGAUUACCUUUUUCCAUAUGAUCACCUGAAAAGUGAAACAAAUAGGUUACUUUAACUGAACAAAAGAAAGAUGAAACAUAAGUAUUAAUACUUCUAUGACAUGGUAUUAACCAUUUACUUCUAUGCAUUUGAACCUCAUGCUUCUCUUUCUAGUGCACUGCGAUUUUUU